GUCUCGCGGGCGGCGGCAGGUGAGCGGCGGGCGGGGAUGGCGGAGCAAUGGGAGCUGGACGAGGAAGGCAUCCGCCGCCUGGGGGCGCUGACGCUGGAGCAGCCGGAACUGGUGGAGUCUCUUUCAUUGCAGGGAUCUUAUGCUGGCAAAAUCCAUUCCAUUGGUGAUGCCUUCAGAAAUUUUAAAAAUCUCCGAUCCUUAGAUUUAUCAAGGAAUUUGAUCACUAGCCUUAAGGGAAUCCAGUAUUUAUGUUCACUCCAAGACCUGAAUUUAUAUUAUAACAACAUUCCUUCAUUAGUGGAAGUGUCCCGUCUACAACCGUUACCCUUCCUCAAAGAACUGGAUUUGAGACUUAAUCCUGUUGUAAGGAAGGAUACAGAUUAUAGGCUCUUUGCUGUAUAUACACUACAAACUCUGGAGAAAUUAGAUGACCGAACUGUACGUGAAGGUGAGAGAAAAGCUGCCAAGCUGCAUUUUAGUCAGUUGGGCAACAGUGAAAAUUUUCUUUUAGAGGUGGAAAAAAGCUCUAGGGAGAAGACAAUGAAAAACUGUGUAACAGGUGAGAGCUCUGCAUCAAAAGUCAGUGCUAAUGUUGACAGCAGGAUUGAAAUGGACUCAAACAAAGGACUUUUUAUUCCCUUCCCCAACCGGGAAAUAAAGGAUUCCCUAAGUACUUCUGCAACUCAGGGCAAUGGUACACCUGAUCAGAAAUUAGACACCUUCCCACUGGGGACACAGACACAGGAAGUAGCAAGAAGGGAAAUGCCAAGUGACAAUCACCAGGAAGAUGAGUUCAGACACUACUCGCCUCGUCAGUCCACAGUCCGAUCCCCAGAGAAGAUGACUAGAGAAGGGUACCAAGUAUCUUUUUUGGACAAUAAGUCUUCAGGUUCUUCUCCAGAAAAGGAAUUGAUACCAAAACCUGAUACUUUUCAUCUUACCCAUGAUGCCUCAUUGAGUAAAUGCCUGGAUGUGGGUGAUUCUAGCCAGAUCCAUCCCUAUCAGUUACCUUCAGAUGUUGGUCUGGAAAAUUAUGACAGUUGUUAUUCUCAAACUCUAUCCCUGCAUGGAAGUCUUGGUAAAAGGCCUCAGAGAAGCAAGAACUAUCAAGAGUAUAGCAUAAAGCCUUCAAAUGACAUAAAGACCACCGCUUCACAUUCCUGUGGAGACCUAUUAACUUCUCUGUCAAACCCUGACUCCAGCACUGGAAGGCUUUUGAAGCUUAGUUCAGAUCUGUAUGCCACAACCCAUUUCAACAGUGACCCUGCUGUACUUGUCAAUGUAGAGCAACAAUUAUCUACCAGCCUGGGUGAUUUGACACCAGCACAUGGUUCUGUCCCAAACAACGCUGUCCUGGGAAACAGGACAACUCCUCUGCGGACACUGCUGUUGUCUCCUGGGACUUCAGAACACAGAAAGAUUUUUACCAAGAGGUCACUAAGCCCAUCGAAGAGAGGAUUCAAAUGGAAGGACAAUAUCCUUGCCAACCUGAAUCUAAAGCAUGGUUUCCGAGAUGCUACAGGCAGCGAGCCUCUCUCUAGUGACCUGGGUAGUUUGCACGGUUUGCCUGGAAACCACAGUCCCCCCAUCUCUGCCAGAACCCCCCAUGUGGCCACUGUCCUCAGACAGCUCCUGGAGCUUGUGGAUAAGCACUGGAAUGGCUCCGGCUCCCUCCUCCUCAACAAGAAGUUUCUCGGUCCUGCCCGAGAUUUGCUUCUGUCUUUGGUAGUCCCGGCUCCUUCUCAGCCGAGGUGUUGCUCACAUCCUGAAGACACGAUGAAAGCGUUCUGCAGGAGGGAGCUUGAACUGAAGGAGGCUGCGCAGCUGGUCCCUAAUGACAUGGAAAGUUUGAAGCAAAAACUGGUCAGAGUGCUGGAGGAAAACCUCAUUUUGUCAGAAAAAAUUCAACAGUUGGAGGAAGGUGCUGCCAUCUCAAUUGUGAGUGGGCAACAGUCACAUAUUUAUGAUGUUUUCACAUACUACGUAGGGAGUGAAGGAUGUACAAAACAAACUAAAAUGGAGAAUACGGUGUGAGACCCAAUAUCUAUUGACUGCCUAUGCUAAGUGAGGAUGAUCUUCUGCACAAAAACCAACAGCUGACCAUGCAGGUGGCUUGCCUGAACCAGGAGCUUGCCCAGCUGAAAAAGCUGGAGGAGACAGUUGCCAUUCUCCAUGAAAGUCAGAGAUCCCUGGUGGUAACUAAUGAGUAUCUGCUGCAGCAGCUGAAUAAGGAGCCAAAAGGUUAUUCCGGGAAAGCACUCCUGCCUCCUGAGAAGGGUCAUCAUCUGGGGAGAUCAUCGCCCUUUGGGAAAAGCACGUUGUCUUCCUCCUCACCAGUGGCACAUGACACUGGUCAGUAUCUAAUACAGAGCAUCUUGGAUGCUGCCCCAGAGCCUGGCUUAUGAGAGCUAGCAUGGAACUCACACCACAGCUUCCCUGGUCCACAGAGGCUCUCACCGCCAUUGCCACCAGUAUGGUGGUAUGUACUCACAAAGAUUAAGAAAGAAAUGUAUUCUGA